rnacentral:lncRNA from 1 species
GGAGCUCACAGCCGGGGAGACCAGUGAAUUCUUCCCUGUAGACUUGAGGAACCCAGACGCCCUCCCAGGUGAAAGACCAUCUUCGUGGGAGGUGGUGUGGGGGCACUGUGCCUCAGUCUUGCCCCUGGCUCGGCCCUGCCUGGUGUUUGCUUUCUGACCUUUUCUCCGUGGGUGAAUGCAGGCACCCGAUGAGGUCAUCUCCACUCUCCCUUCCAGCUCGGAACAGACUAUGGUCCCUCAGAGAUGAUGGGGAUUGAUCAUCAUUUCAACAUUACCCGAGAUGAACGAAAAAAAGGAAUCUUUCCAUCAGGGUCGACUGGCUGCAUUCAUCGGCCAAAAAAAGUCUAGUUUUCAAGAGGUUGUUGAUAAAGAUGAUGAGCGUUGACAUUUUUAAGAGAUGUCCCAGGUGCCAGGAGCUGCUCGGUGCUUUUUUCAUGGAUCAAUUUAUUUAAUCUUAAGCUGCACGGAGAAGCUCUGAAUCUGGAGAAGCUCUAUAUCUAACGCUUGGAUUUUAUAUAUUUUUAAGCUGACAGAUGUUCAUUUAAGUCCUUGCUCUGCUUUUUGCUGCCUGGGUGACCUUGACCCUGUUCCCUUAAGCAACGUGAGCCUCAGAGCUCUCUGCCCCUCUGAUGAGAGAUGGAUGGUGUAUGAAGCUCCACACACCAUCAGGUGCACGGCGCAGUGCAAGCCCACCACGGCCCUGGAGAGAAGUCCCUUGGAGCGGAGUGGAAAUGUCUAGCAGACCUUUCUCUUUGUUUUCGCACAAGGCGCUUUUUAACAUUUCAACACCUCUCUGAGCGGCUGGGAGGCAGCCUGCAGUGGUCCCCAAGAGCUUGGUGCAGGACGGGUACUGACGGUCAAGUUCUGCCUGUGCCACCCAGCUGUGUGACCUCGGUCAAGUUCUUAACUUCUCUGACCCUCCAUGCCCUCAUCUGGAAAAUGAGGGUAGUAAGAGAAUUAAUUGUCUUCACUCAGGUACCGAGCACUUAGGAUAGGGCUAUUAAUGUUCCCCAUUAUGGUCAUUAUUGCCAUCUAAUUAUUUUUAUUAUUAUUGCUAUCAUAGAAUUCAUUAGCGCAUCAAGUAUUUAAUAGGCUCCACGUGUGUACAUAACAUUGCACUUGGUACAGAGGUGAAGGAUGCCAACGAUGAGGGAUGCCCCUGUGAUUCCCACCAUCCAGCGUCACAGUCCACGUGGAGACUGGUUCAGCCAACCAACCCCGCCCCCCCAACACCCACCAAGGCUCAGACAAGGAAACCAAACAGGAGUCAGACCGUUCCUGCCCCCAGGGAACUCACCGUUUGGCCAAGAAGCCAGACCCAGGGAGAGAGUGGCACAGCACCAAAGGGCAGGCACUUGAGUGACCACCCAGGGUCACAUCUGGCUCUACCAGCCACCAGCCACAGGCCCUUUGC